GUCGAAGCGGAUUGGUCAAGCAGGGGAAGCCAUGGCGGACCAUAGCAACAAAAGCUGUACAAAGCAGCAGACGGGUCCGUUUAUUAAGGUCAGGGCUGAGAACCACCACCUUUUUACUGGAGCUAAAAACUCAGCCACCGUGGCUUGGAGGACAAUUCUGGAGAAGAUGGACCAACAGGGGAAGGUCACCCCUUUGCAGGACAAAACAAUGUG